GAGUCAUCUCUUCUGAACUGCGAGUGUAUGCAACCGAGGAGACAGACCCUCUGCCAGCACCAGACUCCCAAUGAAUCUGCUUACACUUCUGUGGGAGGCAGCUGAGAAAAGAGCCCAGAAAAGUGGAGACAUCUAGAAAAGUUUAUCAAGGGCACUGCUCUUACUGAGAGGACAAUAAGAAGCAGCAAAACAGAGUAGCUAUGUGUAUAUAGCAGCGCAUUUUCACCCAUCACAUUGGCAGUGAGUUUCUUCCAAGGCCAAGGUCAUUUUCAAUCCUGAGGCCGUCAAAUCAUUUAUUGAAUCUUUAAAAUUCUCAAAAAUUAUAUACAUUUUUAAUAUGUAUCAAUUUUAGUGUUGCAGUUUAACUGCUUCAUUAAUGUUUUUCCCCCUAAAAAUGGACUGUGAGAUCCAAUGUAGGUAAUCAUAUUUAUGAAGGAAUUCAGUUAUUUAUUUUAUUUCACUUUGGAGAUAUUUGUUUUCACUAUGUAAUUCAAAAUAUAUAUAUACAUAUUUUCUCCUUUCCUUGGUUAAUCUUGGAACAAAGAAAAUAAUGCAUAGUAUUUUCCAAAAUGCCACUCAAAAAAGAUUAUAGCCAUUGUCAAUAAUAAGAUAAAGAAUUGAAAAACUCUUGAAUGAGGCCAAGCUCAGAUUAGAUUAGGUGAAAUCCAAUGCCCUUGUAACAGUGUUCCUGGGGUAGCAUUUAUUACCAUGAUGAAUUUGUUCGUUCUGGGUCUGGUUCUCAGUCUCAGAAAUCUGGUUUUGUCAACAGACUUCAAGCAAUGUAUUUCUCACGUCAUUGAUUUUUAAAUCUAGAACUGACGGGAAUGUUACAAUGAUAACUUACUGAAUGUGAUCAGUACAUUCUUUUUACCAGCCUCCAGAAAGUUGAUUGAUGAUCAUGGAGUCAGAGCAAGGAAUCAAGCAAGCAACUAGAAUCAAAUGCUUUAUGCUUUUUAUCAAACAGCAUAGCCAAAUGCACUCUCUGAAAUGAGAGGAUUUUUGCACAGCUAAGAGUUUGAUAGCUGAAGUCACUUUGCACUAUGUAUGGCUAGUAUUUGGCUCCAUAUUUCUUUUUAUUUUAUACCAUUAAAUGGAACAAUGCUUUGCCCUUCCCCUCCACACCAGCUUCCCUUUUCAUGGAAUCAAAACAUUUCUAAUGCUUUUUUUUUUUUUUUCAAGUUUUUACUUAAAUUUCAGUUACCAUACAGUAUAACAUUAGUUUCAGGUGUAGAAUUUAGUUUCUAGCAUUUUCAAUUAUUAUUACAUUAAUUUCUUUAAAACCUGAAUAUAGCUGAUCAUAUUACAGGCAUGGCCUGCUCCCUUAAAGCCAUUCUGAUGCAUUUUGUGCUUUUCUCAGUAUUUAACAGAAAUCACAUUUCUCACAUGUUCAAGUUCACUGUAACCCCCAAGUACCUAUAACAUGUAUCAGUUUCGGAUGUUGCUUUGCAUUACAGUGAAGUUUUAAUUUAAAUAUUCAAAUAAGCAUUUAAAUAUGGCUCAUUUUGGGUGAGGAAGAAUGAACCAGGUUCUAUGAAAGAGACAAAAAUAAA
rnacentral:lncRNA from 1 species